rnacentral:rRNA from 1 species
GAUGAACGCUGGCGGCGUGCCUAAUACAUGCAAGUCGAACGCAUUGUGGUUGAAAUGAUAUGAAGAACUUGUUCAGAUUUGAUUUUCAACAUUGCAAUGAGUGGCGAACGGGUGAGUAACACGUGGGAAACCUACCUCUUAGCAGGGGAUAACAUUUGGAAACAAAUGCUAAUACCGUAUAAUAAUUAAAACCGCAUGGUUUUAGUUUAAAAGAUGGUCUUGCUAUCACUAAGAGAUGGUCCCGCGGUGUAUUAGUUAGUUGGUGAGGUAAUGGCUCACCAAGACAAUGAUACAUAGCCGAGUUGAGAGACUGACCGGCCACAAUGGGACUGAGACACGGCCCAUACUCCUACGGGAGGCAGCAGUAGGGAAUCUUCCACAAUGGACGAAAGUCUGAUGGAGCAACGCCGCGUGCGUGAUGAAGGUUUCGGCUCGUAAAACACUGUUGUAAGAGAAGAAUGACAUUGAGAGUAACUGUUCAAUGUGUGACGGUA